rnacentral:lncRNA from 1 species
GCUUUUUAUUGACUGCCUAUCAUUGAUCAAGCCAGUCCUGCAGGCGGCCACUGAGGUAUAUCCAGUGGGGUCUAUCUCAGCCCUACCCUUCUUGAGUUCUUUUGGCUGGUCUAAUAAUUCAAUUGACACAAGACAAAUUAACAGGAGAAAAAAAAACUUGUGUAUAUGGUGGUCUCAUAGAAAUAGAAUUCCCUCCAAAAGUACAAAAGCAGGCAGCUUUUAUACUUUUGAGACAAACAUAAAUCUGUGAAGAAGACAAAGAAAUGUAGGCUUGGGUGUUUAAUUAGUGAAGAAUAUGACAGUUUUAGCUUGGGGUAGUCAAUUAGUAAAGAAGUAACAAGCUUUGUUACUGGCUUUCUGGCCCUGAAUUCCCUAUCUCUGGUGUUAAGGAUGUCUCUCUACCUCCAGAUACAGGGUGUGUACCUUUCACAUGGGAGAUUUAUUUUCUGUUUUCAGAGGGCCAGGGAUUGAACCUGAGUCCUCAUGGAUGCUAGUCAGGUUCAUUAACCACUGAGCCAUCAUGGGAACUCCUCUGAUUAUUGAUACAACAUACUAUUGAGGUGGCAAAAAGAAACAGGAAAAUUUUGAGAGUAUGUAAAAUGAAGCACUUUUUGGAGAAGGAUGAAACUCAAAUGAGGCCUCAUCUUUAUUGAUGAAACUUCCUUCAUUUACACCAUAAUUAUUAACCAUAUUAAUAUUUAUGCAGGAUUGAUUUUUGUUUUAAUUUGUAUCACUCAAAUCAUACUAUUCACACAUAGGAAAUAAGGUCAUGUUUACAGUUUAUAUUACAGUAAAUAAAAGCAACUCUCAGGGUUCCCAUUGUGGCUCAGUGGUUUAUGAGCCCGACUAGUAUCCAUGAGGGCAUGGGUUAAAUCCAUGGCCUUGCUCAAUGGGUUGGGGAUCUGGUAUUGCUGUGAGCUGUGGUGCAGGUCACAGAUAUGGCUCGGAUGCCAUUUUGCUGUGGCUGUGGCAUAGGCCAGCAGCUACAACUCCAAUUCAACUCCUAGCCUGGUAACUUCCAUAUACCGUGGGUGCAGCCCUAAAAAGACAAAAGACAGAAGACAAAAAAAAAAAAAAAAAAAAAA